rnacentral:rRNA from 1 species
AUUGAACGCUGGCGGCAUGCCUUACACAUGCAAGUCGAACGGCAGCACGGGAGCAAUCCUGGUGGCGAGUGGCGAACGGGUGAGUAAAGUAUCGGAACGUGCCCAGUCGUGGGGGAUAACGUAGCGAAAGUUACGCUAAUACCGCAUACGAUCUAUGGAUGAAAGCGGGGGAUCGCAAGACUUCGCGCGAUUGGAGCGGCCGAUAUCAGAUUAGGUAGUUGGUGGGGUAAAGGCUCACCAGGCCGACGAUCUGUAGCUGGUCUGAGAGGACGACCAGCCACACUGGGACUGAGACACGGCCCAGACUCCUACGGGAGGCAGCAGUGGGGAAUUUUGGACAAUGGGCGAAAGCCUGAUCCAGCCAUGCCGCGUGCAGGAUGAAGGCCUUCGGGUUGUAAACUGCUUUUGUACGGAACGAAAAGGUUUGGCCUAAUAAGCUGAGCUCAUGACGGUACCGUAAGAAUAAGCACCGGCUAACUACGUGCCAGCCGCCGCCGUAAUAC